rnacentral:snRNA from 1 species
GGAGGCUGCCCCUCCGACAAGAUUGGAAGGAUACAGAGAAGGUUAGCAUGGCCCCUGCGCAAGGAUGACGCGCACAGAUCGAGAGUCGAAGCCCUACAUG